rfam:Omnitrophica bacterium RIFCSPHIGHO2_02_FTLL_46_11 rifcsphigho2_02_scaffold_31336, whole genome shotgun sequence.
GGGCGGCUAGCUCAGUUGGUAGAGCGUGUUUUUGACGUAAACAAGGCCAUAGGUUCGAUUCCUAUGCCGCCCA